UGUGGCAGCAAGAGGGGGAAAGUCUUGAGAGCACGAAGAGGGAAGAAGGGGGAGAUAAAAGGAAAUGUGCUGAAAGAGUACAGCUGUAAGACUGCAAAAGAGAGAGGGCUCGAGAACAAACUUGAGUCACAAUGCAGGGUGUGUGUGUGGCUGAGUAAGGCUUUGUGCUAAGAGAGACUGGCCCAGAGGAGUUUCCAGGGAGACAGACAGGCCCUGCUAUGCUGUGACCACCACUACAGCAGCCCCAUUCUCCUUGCUGUGCUACUCACCUGGGGGUUGCUGAGCCAGCAGGGCCUCCGGAUGGGGUAGACUGAAUAGCAGUACUUUCCCGUCUGAGCAGGCCAGAGCCAAGAGACCCAACCGGGGCAGGAGAGGAGCCUAAAGGGUAAAAGAAUCAGAAAAAAGUGCGGAUGUGCAAUCUUCACCUGUUUAUUCGGUAGAGGGUGCCAUCUUCAGGUAGCCCUUCACGUUGUACAGAAAACAAUGGAGACUUCUCCUCCUGGGGCAGUGGUGUCACCCUUCCUAAGCUACAGAGAUGUUGCUUCAACUUACAGCUCAGAUAACAAGUGCCACUUCCAGGCUAAAGGAAUCCAUUCAGCAAACUCCCAGUAUGAAUGUUUCUGCUCUCGGCUGGAGAAACAGAAGAAGCAUUAAUGAAGGAGAGGGAUUCUACAGCAGCACAGUCCAAUAAAACUUUCUGUGGAGAUGGAAAUGAUCCAUUAUCUGUGCUCCCCAAUAUGCCAGUUGCUAGCUGCAAUUAGCUACCGAGCACCUAAAAUGUGGCUAGCGCAGCUGAGAAACAGAGCCUUUCAUUUUAUUUCACUUUAAUUAAAGAGUUCUAGAGCUCUUGCCUCUAGAGCAGUGCUUUUUAGUAAUGAAUAUCAUCACGGUAUUCCACCCAUGAGUGCUUCUCUUUCCCACGGCCCCAUUUCAAUACCGCCCUUGCACUCCUCUACCACCCCUUUAUUAACCCCAGCCCCCUGUCCCCAAGUCUCACAAGUCCUUGGUGAGAUGGAGGCACUUCCAAACAGGAGCCAUGAUAUGAUUUGGUAAGCCAUUGGGAGCCAUUCCCCGGCAGUGUGGC
rnacentral:lncRNA from 1 species